UACAGAGGGUGCAAGCGUUGUUCGGAAUUAUUGGGCGUAAAGGGCGCGUAGGCGGUGCGGUAAGUCUGUAGUGAAAUCUCUGGGCUCAACUCAGAGUCUGCUAUAGAAACUGCCGUGCUAGAGUGUGGGAGAGGUGAGUGGAAUUCCCGGUGUAGCGGUGAAAUGCGUAGAUAUCGGGGGGAACACCUGUGGCGAAAGCGGCUCACUGGACCGCAACUGACGCUGAGGCGCGAAAGCUAGGGGAGCAAACAGG
rnacentral:rRNA from 1 species